ACCCCCGGCGCUUGCGUAGUAUCAACUCCAGCGCAGAAGCGGGCUCAGCCUGCCCGCAGGUACGAAAACGAGUAAGACCUCGGACACUGCGCACGUGUCAUUUCAGGCGACCAUCUGAGUGCCCACCCCAUGACUGACUCCAUAAGCAGGAGAUGACUUCAUCCCCAAAUCCUGAAGGUGGCCGCCUUUCACACCGUAAUCCGAUAUCUGGAAAUGUGAGAAUUUGAAGACAAUAAUCGCCAAAAAAAAUGAAAGACUUUUCCAUACAAAGAUGUUCGCAGCAGUGUUAUUUAUAAUCGUGAAUUGGAAACUACCUAGAUUUGCUAACAUAGGAGAAUGGCCAGAUGAAUAAUGGUAUUAACAUUACCUACUGCAUAAAUAUUAGAUAAACAUUUUGAAAGAUGGUUAUGGUGAUUCUGCGGUCACAUGGAAAAGUUUUGUAGUAAUCUAAGAUGAUCACGGAUAUGUUAAACAAACAGCCUUACAUCAAAAAUGUCUGCAUGGGAGGAACAGUGAAAGAAAACACAAUGAGAUGUUAAUGGUUGAAGUGCUUUGGUGAUUCUGAUUUCUCCUUUCCACUUUCCUGUAACAAGCAUGAACACUUAUAUCAAGAUUAAUUAUACUUAAAAAUAUCUUUUUCCUUAUCUUGAGAGUCUUUUUUAAAAAAAUAAUAA